UACGUAGGGGGCGAGCGUUGUCCGGAUUUAUUGGGCGUAAAGAGCGUGUAGGCGGCCAGGUAGGUCUGCUGUGAAAACUCGAGGCUCAACCUCGAGACGUCGGCGGAAACCAUCUGGCUAGAGUCCGGAAGAGGAGAGUGGAAUUCCCGGUGUAGCGGUGAAAUGCGCAGAUAUCGGGAGGAACACCGAUGGCGAAGGCAGCACUCUGGGCCGGUACUGACGCUGAGGAGCGAAAGCGUGGGGAGCGAACGAGG
rnacentral:rRNA from 1 species